AAGAACAAAAGCGCAAGCGACAGAAUGAUGCUUUGCGCUUACCUUGCCUCUACGUUCCUUUAGGUCACUGUUUUGUUCACACCACUGCAAGCUGCUGCCACCAAACAAAGGUGUUCUCAAAGACGGAAUGACGUUCAAUUCCACUGACCCUUGCCUUCAGUACGUAUGCCAACGAGGAACCCUAACGACGAAAGAGUGCAUCGGAGCCAAAUUCGGAAAGUGCGCAAUACCAAAAGCGGCUAAGAAAGUUUCUUAUCCGGCUUGCUGUGGUCAAAUGAUUUGCACGGGUCACUAAAUAAAACA